rnacentral:snoRNA from 1 species
UCCGAAGAUGAAACGGCACUGGGCUCCGACGGCGUUUAAAAAAAUGUCCGGUCAUGACGGAGAUGCCUUUUUGCGGCAGGCCUAGAAAACCUCGCCCACUGAGA